rnacentral:lncRNA from 1 species
GUCUCUUUGCUAUGUUUAUACUUUAAGCGUUCAAUUCAUGAAUGGUUGGAGUUGGAUGGAUUUAUUAAAUUUGUGAGCCUUGAGUAAUUGGAAAGUUGUUUUCAUGUGACCAAAAUGUCCUCGGUUCAAGCCGUGAUCCUUGUGGUUCAGGUUUUUUUUUGAACCCCGGUCAUAGCAGAAACUUUAAUGCACCGGGCUACCCUCUUUUUAAUUAAAAAUGCAUUCAUAUAUAUAUAUAUAUAUAUAUAUAUACACGUAAAUAUAAAUAAUAUGAUCACGUUGUAUUCACCAUUUAAAUGUUGAUUUCGCCUUAGUAAAUGAUGUGCUUCAAAGGCGAACUAUGUUAUAAUAAGCGAGUUAAAUUAAAUCUGUAUCGAAAAAUUUAUUACUAAAUACAAAGUAUAAAUUAUAUUUGAAUUUGAACUGCCUGUUAUAUUUAGGGCAAAUGGAUCCGCUUGACGCGGUCAAAUGGGUUCAUCUCGUAAGUGAAGAUGAGUUCGAGCUUCAUUUAAUACGUUACUAGAUUACAGCAGUUCAAGGAGUGGCACAUUUCUCUCUUGGAAAUUAGUCCACUAUGGCGACUGUGAGUGUACUUGACUUUUACACUAUCACAUGCUUGUUCACUAUAAAAGCUUCUCAUUCAAAAUAAACAAAUAUUUUUAUUUUAAUUUUUAGACAGGACAUGACUCAAUUCCAACGCAUCGAGAACAUAACUCUAGAUAGGAGUGUGUGGGGUAAAAUAGGAAAAGUGCAUACAUGACAUCAUAGAUCGUAUCGCCCCAGAAACAACGUCAAAAUGAGUCUCCCUCUGACACCAAGAGCAUGAGAAACCACCUAACUUAAUGACUUUGAACUAAAGGACAAACGGGGACCAAUGUGGGAGCUCAGGUGCACAUGUGUUCCUCUGCAGAAGUGAAUCAGAUGGAACAGUAAGCUACCCCUUACCCCACAGCCUUAGCAAGUGGCAUCCGAUAAUUGGUCACGAUACAAUGGGUCUCAGAUGUCACUCUCUAAUUGGCCAUAGGCCCACCUUGUA